AAUUAGAAAGAUGUCCAUGUACCAUGAAAAAGAGUUUAUCAUAUAUUAAUACAAAUGUAUAAUGUGUUAGAAAUUUUAAAACAACACUAAAGAUUAUAGGCUUCAGUAUAUAAAGUAUUUACCAAAAACUCAAUAUUUUCGAAGGGGUUAACACAUCGAUUUUGAGAAAAUUUGAAAAAAAUGACCAUAUUGUUUUAAUGCAUAGUUGCAUCAUGCACUAACAUAUGAUGAAAUUCAAAGUGGUUUGGAGCUUUUAUUGUCUCUGUUUAUCUAGAAAAUAGUUAUUUUAUAGUAGUUAUUUCAUCGAUUUAGGAAGUAUUAGGAAGUUUUACUAAAUUAAUAGAUAAAAAAUUAUAACAAUUUCCAUAUACCAUGAAAAAUAGCGUAAAAUAAAUUAAUACAGAUGUAGAAUGUGGUUAGAAAUUUUAAAAAACACUAAAUAUUAUAGGCUUCAGUAUAUAAAAAAUUUA